GUGGGGAAUUUUGGACAAUGGGCGCAAGCCUGAUCCAGCAAUGCCGCGUGUGUGAAGAAGGCCUUCGGGUUGUAAAGCACUUUUGUCCGGAAAGAAAUGGCCUGGGUUAAUACCCCGGGUCGAUGACGGUACCGGAAGAAUAAGCACCGGCUAACUACGUGCCAGCAGCCGCGGUAAUACGUAGGGUGCGAGCGUUAAUCGGAAUUACUGGGCGUAAAGCGUGCGCAGGCGGCGAUGCAAGACAGAUGUGAAAUCCCCGGGCUCAACCUGGGAACUGCAUUUGUGACUGCAUGGCUAGAGUGCGUCAGAGGGGGGUGGAAUUCCGCGUGUAGCAGUGAAAUGCGUAGAGAUGCGGAGGAACACCGAUGGCGAAGGCAGCCCCCUGGGAUGACACUGACGCUCAUGCACGAAAGCGUGGGGAGCAAACAGGAUUAGAAACCCCUGUAGUCC
rnacentral:rRNA from 1 species